rnacentral:rRNA from 1 species
UACGAAGGGGGGCUAGCGUUGCUCGGAAUCACUGGGCGUAAAGGGCGCGUAGGCGGCCAUUCAAGUCAGAGGUGAAAGCCCAAGGCUCAACCUUGGAAUUGCCUUUGAUACUGUUUGGCUUGAGACCGGAAGAGGUUAGUGGAACUGCGAGUGUAGAGGUGAAAUUCGUAGAUAUCAGGAAGAACACCCCGUGGCGAAGGCGGUUCUCUGGGACGGUACUGACGCUGAGACGCGAAAGCGUGGGGAGCGAACAGG